rnacentral:rRNA from 1 species
UUGGCGAAUGGGUGGGUAAUGCAUGGGUAACGUACCCUAGGCACCGGGAUAGCAACAUCUGCUUCGGCAGAUUUCCGAAAGGGCUGGUAAUACCGGAUGUGGCCAAUAGUGCUGAGGCACUGUUGAUCAAAGGGUGGGGAUCCGCUUCGGCGGACCUACCGGCCUUGGAGCGGCCCAUGUCCCAUCAGCUUGUUGGUAGGGUAACGGCCUACCAAGGCUGCGACGGGUACCGGGGCUGAGAGGCUGAUCCGGCACAUUGGGACUGAGACACUGCCCAGACCCCCACGGGGGGCUGCAGUAACGAAUCUUCCGCAAUGGACGCGAGUCUGACGGAGCGACGCCGCGUGUGGGAUGAAGUCUUUCGGGAUGUAAACCACUGUCAGGGCUACGGAAGCAAUCCGUACUAAUAGUGCGGGGCGAUGACCUAUCCCAGAGGAAGCCACGGCUAACUUCGUGCCAGCAGCCGCGGUAAUACGAAGGUGGCGAGCGUUGUUCGGAAUCACUGGGCUUAAAGAGCACGUAGGCGGUUUGCCAAGCAUUGGGUGAAAUCCCUCAGCUCAACUGAGGAAUUGCCCGAUGAACUGGUUGACUUGAGCUGCACAGGGGCGACUGGAACUCCAGGUGGAGCGGUGAAAUGCGUAGAUAUCUGGAGGAACGCCAGUGGUGAAAACGGGUCGCUGGGUGCAUGCUGACGCUGAGGUGCGAAAGCGUGGGUAGCGAACGGGAUUAGGUACCCCGGUAGUCCACGCCGUAAACGAUGGGCACUAGGUUCUGGUGGGUUUGACCCCUUCGGGGCCGAAGCAAAAGUGAUUAGUGCCCCGCCUGGGGAGUACGGUCGCAAGGCUAAAACUCAAAGGAAUUGACGGGGGCUCACACAAGCGGUGGAGCAUGUGGCUCAAUUCGAGUCAACGCGAAGAACCUUAUCCUGGGCUUGACAUGGUUGGAUGCCCUUGGUGAAAGCCAAGUAAGCUGCCUUCGGGUGAAACUUCCACAGGUGCUGCAUGGCUGUCGUCAGCUCGUGCUGUGAAGUGUUGGGUUAAGUCCUAUAACGAGCGAAACCCCUGUCCUUAGUUACCAUCGGGUCAUGCCGGGGACUCUAGGGAGACUGCCGGUGUUAAACCGGAGGAAGGUGGGGAUGACGUCAAGUCCUCAUGGCCUUUAUGCCCAGGGCUGCACACGUGCUACAAUGGCUGGUACAAACCGACGCAAUACCGCGAGGUGGAGCAAAUCGGAAAAAACCACCCUCAGUUCGGAUUGCAGGCUGCAAUUCGCCUGCAUGAAGUUGGAAUCGCUAGUAAUCGCAGAUCAGCUACGCUGCGGUGAAUAUGUUCCUGAGCCUUGUACACACCGCCCGUCAAGUCACGGAAGCCGGGAGUACCUGAAGUCCCGAUAAUUCAAUUGGGCCGAC